UACGUAGGGUGCAAGCGUUAAUCGGAAUUACUGGGCGUAAAGCGUGCGCAGGCGGUGAUGUAAGACAGGUGUGAAAUCCCCGGGCUCAACUUGGAAACUGCAUUUGUGACUGCAUCGCUGGAGUGCGGCAGAGGGGGAUGGAAUUCCGCGUGUAGCGGUGAAAUGCGUAGAUAUCUGGAGGAACACCGGUGGCGAAGGCGGCAUCCUGGACCGACACUGACACUGAGGAGCGAAAGCCAGGGGAGCAAACGGG
rnacentral:rRNA from 1 species